CGCUGGCGGCAUGCCUAACACAUGCAAGUCGAACGAGAAAGCUUCUUCGGAAGUGAUUAAAGUGGCGCACGGGUGAGUAACGCGUAGACAAUCUGCCCUUCAGUCCGGGACAACUUUCCGAAAGGGGAGCUAAUACCGGAUAACAAUGUUUAACAUAAGUUUAAUAUUUGAAAGCUCCGGCGCUGAUGGAUGAGUCUGCGUCCCAUUAGCUUGUUGGUGCGGUAGUGGCGCACCAAGGCUACGAUGGGUAGCGGGUUUGAGAGGACGAUCCGCCACACUGGAACUGAGACACGGUCCAGACUCCUACGGGAGGCAGCAGUGGGGAAUAUUGCACAAUGGAGGAAACUCUGAUGCAGCAAUGUCGCGUGAGUGAAGAAGGCCCUUGGGUCGUAAAGCUCUUUUAUGGGGGAAGAUAAUGACGGUACCCCAGGAAUAAGCACCGGCUAACUACGUGCCAGCAGCCGCGGUAAUACGUAGGGUGCGAGCGUUGUUCGGAAUUACUGGGCGUAAAGGGCGCGCAGGCGGAGGUGUAAGUCGGAGGUGAAAGCCCGGGGCUCAACCCCGGAGGGUCUUUCGAAACUGCAUCUCUAGAGAGGGUUAGGGGCCGGCAGAAUUCCUGGUGUAGAGGUGAAAUUCGUAGAUAUCAGGAGGAAUACCGGUGGCGAAAGCGGCCGGCUGGGGCCACUCUGACGCUGAGGCGCGAAAGCGUGGGGAGCAAACAGGAUUAGAUACCCUGGUAGUCCACGCCGUAAACGAUGAGCACUGGACGUUCGGAGGGUUCGACCCUUCUGGGUGUUUCAGCUAACGCAUUAAGUGCUCCGCCUGGGGAGUACGGUC
rnacentral:rRNA from 1 species